GCUUAACACAUGCAAGUUGGACGAGAAAGGCUGAUUUCGGUUGGCCGAGUAAAGUAGCGCACGGGUGAGUAACGCGUAGGCAACCUACCCUUGUAUUGGGGAUAACCCCGCGAAAGCGGGGCUAAUACCGGAUACGAUCCCGGGAUGGUGGUUUCGGGAUGAAAGUCAGCCACUCGGAGAAGCUGACGUACGAGGAUGGGCCGUCGUCCUAUCAGCUAGUUGGAGGGGUAAUGGCCCACCAAGGAGACGAUCAGUAGCCGGCCUGAGAGGGUGAUCGGCCACACUGGAACUGAGACACGGUCCAGACUCCUACGGGAGGCAGCAGUGGGGAAUUUUGCGCAAUGGACGAAAGUCUGACGCAGCAACGCCGCGUGAGUGAUGAAGGUCUUCGGAUCGUAAAACCCUGUCGUCAGGGACGAAGGUAAUGUGCCUAAUACGCAUGUUGCUUGACGGUACCUGGAGAGGAAGCCCCGGCUAACUCUGUGCCAGCCGCCGCAGUAAUAC
rnacentral:rRNA from 1 species